rnacentral:lncRNA from 1 species
AUGAGUCACAAAGAGCAGGGAUCGGGAUGCUGUGUUGUGUUCUCUGAGAACUCUUUGUGCUCCAGAAGUGAUGGCCAUAGAGCGUGCCUCAGCCACAGCCUCCUGAAAAGCAAAUGUGCUUCCAAGGGCAGGAGCCGAGUCCGGUCCACUCCUUUCUCCUUAGUACCUGACACUGGAGUUGGUACAAAGGGGCAUUCCCCCCAGGAGUCUUCUCUGACUACACCAGCCCAGAGAGCUCUCUUCUCAAAAACAAAAUUCUCUGCACCUACCAAUAGCUCCCGACUUCCAGAAAUUCUGUCUCCCAGGCCUCUCAAGCUGUUACAUCCUCACUCUCAUGUCCAUGGCUUCCAUUGCCAAGUUUGCUUCAUGGUCAUAAGAUGUCAACUGUAGUCCAUCCACCCAGCUCAUCCACGUUCCAGGAGCAGGGAUGAAGAAAGAGACAGGCCGGCGCCGUGGCUCAAUAGGCUAAUCCUCCACCUUGCGGCGCCGGCACACCGGGUUCUAGUCCCGGUUGGGGCGCCGGAUUCUGUCCCGGUCGCCCCUCUUCCAGGCCAGCUCUCUGCUAUGGCCAGGGAGUGCAGUGGAGGAUGGCCCAGGUGCUUGGGCCCUGCACCCCAUGGGAGACCAGGAAAAGCACCUGGCUCCUGGCUCCUGCCAGGAUCAGCGCGGUGCGCCGGCUGCAGCGGCGGCCAUUGGAGGGUGAACCAACGGCAAAAGGAAGACCUUUCUCUCUGUCUCUCUCUCUCACUGUCCACUCUGCCUGUCA